rnacentral:rRNA from 1 species
GACGAACGCUGGCGGCGUGCCUAAUACAUGCAAGUCGAGCGGACGGAUGGGAGCUUGCUCCCAGACCGUCAGCGGCGGACGGGUGAGUAACACGUGGGCAACCUGCCUGUAAGACUGGGAUAACUCCGGGAAACCGGGGCUAAUACCGGAUAACUCUUUCCCUCCCAUGAGGGAAAGCUGAAAGAUGGCAUCUCGCUAUCACUUACAGCUGGGCCCGCGGCGCAUUAGCUAGUUGGUGAGGUAACGGCUCACCAAGGCGACGAUGCGUAGCCGACCUGAGAGGGUGAUCGGCCACACUGGGACUGAGACACGGCCCAGACUCCUACGGGAGGCAGCAGUAGGGAAUCUUCCGCAAUGGACGAAAGUCUGACGGAGCAACGCCGCGUGAGUGAUGAAGGUGUUCGGAUCGUAAAACUCUGUUGUCAGGGAAGAACAAGUACCGGAGUAACUGCCGGUACCUUGACGGUACCUGACCAGAAAGCCACGGCUAACUACGUG